rnacentral:ncRNA from 1 species
ACUGUGAAGUGUUAUAUCAAAUGAGAGUAGCAAGUUGCAAAAUCAGACACGUUGAAGCAGUAA